rnacentral:rRNA from 1 species
GGUAAUUUAGUCUUAUACUCACUAUUAAUGGAUCAUAAAUCUAUUCAUCAAUAUUACUAAUCAAGAAGAGUUUAUUUUAUCUCCCCGUCACCCCAACCAAACAAUUUUAAGUAAAACCCAACUCUACCCUAAAUAGAUUUAUUACCCAUAAUUGUUAAACUCUAUAGGGUCUUCUCGUCCUCCAAUCUUAUUUAAGCCUUUUGACUAAAAAGUUAAAUUAUACCACAAUCUCCGUGAGACAGUAAACACCUCGUCCAACCAUUCAUACCAGCCCCUAAUUAAGAGACUAAUGAUUAUGCUACCUUUGCACGGUCAAAAUACCGCGGCCCUUCAAUUUUCAGCGGGCAGGCUAGACCUCCUACAUUUACAAGAAGCGAUGUUUUUGAUAAACAGGCGAGCAUCCAUUUGCCGAAUUCCUUACAAAGACCUUUCUAUAUUAUUUAACUAUUACAUUUCACUAUAUUAAUUUCACCAUUAUUACCCAUUGUCUUCUAUUACCAAUGACACUUUGAUACAUAAACUAAACCCAUUAAAAUUAAACCACCCCUAAGUAAACUAUAACGUUAUUAUUUGAUGACUGAUUUCAAGUCUACCCCCUUAAGUAACUGAGCCUGUUAUAGUUGUGUCCUUAAGCUUAUCCCUCAAGACAUUAGCAAUUAACCCCUAAAUCAAUUAUCACUAAUCAAAAUAACACUAUUGCCUAAAUUAAAUUCAUUUCUCAAAGAACUAGAAACCUAUAAAUUCGCCUAACAUUUCAUUUCUAAAGAAGUAUUUUUAAGAAAUUUGCCAUUUUAACUAAAUUACCUCUUUAGCCCACUUAAAAUCGAGAAAACAAAAUCUUUCGCUCCAUUUAAUAAACCCUGAUACACAAGGUACAACACUAAAUCUACUUUUCAUUAAAUUACUUUUCACUUAUUUCACCCUUCCUUCUCAGUACUACCCUUAUUACUUAUUUUAUGAUUUCAUUACCCAAUACUCCCACUAAUCUCUUAAUAUUGAUUUACCCAGUCAAUUUAAAUUCACUAACCCUAUUAAUUAUGCUACCUCUCAAAAUAAAUUGAAUUGCACAAUAACUUCUCAAUGUAAAUGAAAUGCUUUACUCCUCAAGCUCUA